rnacentral:rRNA from 1 species
CAGUCGCCGCGGUAAUACGUAGGGUGCAAGCGUUAAUCGGAAUUACUGGGCGUAAAGCGCACGCAGGCGGUCUGUCAAGUCGGAUGUGAAAUCCCCGGGCUCAACCUGGGAACUGCAUUCGAAACUGGCAGGCUAGAGUCUUGUAGAGGGGGGUAGAAUUCCAGGUGUAGCGGUGAAAUGCGUAGAGAUCUGGAGGAAUACCGGUGGCGAAGGCGGCCCCCUGGACAAAGACUGACGCUCAGGUGCGAAAGCGUGGGGAGCAAACAGGAUUAGAUACCCGUGUAGUCCCUGUCUCUUAUAA